rnacentral:rRNA from 1 species
GACGAACGCUGGCGGCGUGCUUAACACAUGCAAGUCGAACGGAAAGGCCCUGCUUUUGUGGGGUGCUCGAGUGGCGAACGGGUGAGUAACACGUGAGUAACCUGCCCUUGACUUUGGGAUAACUUCAGGAAACUGGGGCUAAUACCGGAUAGGAGCUCCUGCUGCAUGGUGGGGGUUGGAAAGUUUCGGCGGUUGGGGAUGGACUCGCGGCUUAUCAGCUUGUUGGUGGGGUAGUGGCUUACCAAGGCUUUGACGGGUAGCCGGCCUGAGAGGGUGACCGGGCACAUUGGGACUGAGAUACGGAGCAGACUCCUACGGGAGGCAGCAGUGGGGAAUAUUGCACAGUGGGCGGAAGCCUGAUGCAGCAACGCCGCGUGCGGGAUGACGGCCUUCGGGUUGUAAACCGCUUUCGCCUGUGACGAAGCGUGAGUGACGGUAAUGGGUAAAGAAGCACCGGCUAACUACGUG